CCCACACAAGAAUAACACUGCAACAAAUGCAUAAUAUAAGUAUGAAAACGGUUGGACAAAUGUUUCUUAAUUUAUAUAAACUUAUCAAUUGUAAACCCAAGAAUUGGCAGUCCAUUUUUGUUGCAUUUGGCUAUGACAAAUGGGCAUUAGCUAUGUUAGUUUUAUGAAAAGUAAAUGUUGUUAGUUGGAUAUUAAAUGCAAUCUAAAAGUUGUUGGUAGGAUAUCAAAUGUAUUACUAGAAGUUGUUAGAGGUUGUUAGAAGAUUCUAGAGAUCUCUUGUAAUUAUUACUUUAGGAUUUGAGUUCUCUAUAUAUAGGAGUU
rnacentral:sRNA from 1 species